AUUGAACGCUGGCGGCAUGCUUUACACAUGCAAGUCGAACGGUAACAGGCCGCAAGGUGCUGACGAGUGGCGAACGGGUGAGUAAUGCAUCGGAACGUGCCCAGUCGUGGGGGAUAACGCAGCGAAAGCUGCGCUAAUACCGCAUACGAUCUCUGGAUGAAAGCGGGGGACCGAAAGGCCUCGCGCGAUUGGAGCGGCCGAUGUCAGAUUCGGUAGUUGGUGGGGUAAAGGCCCACCAAGCCAACGAUCUGUAGCGGGGCUGAGAGGACGACCAGCCACGCUGGGACUGAGACACGGCCCAGACUCCUACGGGAGGCAGCAGUGGGGAAUUUUGGACGAUGGGCGCAAGCCUGAUCCAGCAAUGCCGCGUGCAGGAAGAAGGCCUUCGGGUUGUAAACUGCUUUUGUACGGAACGAAACGGUCCGGGUUAAUACCCUGGGCUAAUGACGGUACCGUAAGAAUAAGCACCGGCUAACUACGUGCCAGCCGCCGCGGUAAUAC
rnacentral:rRNA from 1 species